CAGGCUGAGAAAAUACAUUCUGCGGUUUAGAGCCACCUGGUCUAUGGCAUUUAUUAUGGCAGCCCAAAUGGAGUUAAGCCCUUUCUGCAAGCUUAUACUGCUCUAACACAGCAACAGUUACACUGGAUUUGAAUAGUAUGCUUGUUUAUGUUCUCCCGCACACUAUGAGCCACUUUACGGGCAAGGACUCUAUCUUUUUUUCUCUGAACACUCCCGUGUUUAUAAAUGUUCCAUAGACUUCUGCUGGGUGACAAAUGAAUUCAACCCCUUCCUUCCAGCCUAACUAGACGCCACUGGGUGAGGAGGCCAGGAGUGCGUCACACAACCCAGAGGGAGACACCUGUGCUCCUUGAGUUGUUCUCAAGACUUCGUUCUCCUUCCAGCUGGAGCAUCUUCUCACUCGGACAUCCCUUGGAACGACCUGUUUGUGAGCUGCCUCAAUGGAUCACUGAUGGAGGAAAACCACUUCCCAUUUUUUCUUUGUGCUUCUAAUACCUAGAAUAGUAUCUGGCACAUAGAAGGCGCUUAAUGUUUAGACUGAAUUGAAUUAUUGCCAUAUUACUGACUUGGGGCAUCAUUGCCAAAGCACUCCUCGCUUUGAGGAAAUUCUUACUAAUGUUCUAACUACCAGCUGGCAGAGAGCCAUUCAUUUCUCUAUUAUUCAGUUUGAAGACCUGGUAUGUGCACUGGAUGCUGGCUUUGCAGUGAUGAACAAAACCACAGGAACUUUGGCCCAUGAAACUUAGAGUCUAGUUUAUCUAAAAGGUAUUUAGUAAAAUUUAGUAGGUGAUAUAAUGAUAUAUGAUAAUUGCCUUCAAAUUAUAUAAAGAGCUGUCUCACAAGAGAGGCUAAACUGAAACGUAGAGGACAGAUCUGAGUUCCACGAAUGGCAGUUACCAGGACACAUUUCAACUUGGGUGAAAUAAGGGCAUUUUAGUACCAGGGUUGUUGAUCCCCGNCAACUCAGGAUCCAAGCUAUGUCUGCAGCCUACACCACAGCUCACAGCAAUGCUGGAUCCUUAACUCACUGAGCGAGGCCA
rnacentral:lncRNA from 1 species